AUGGCGGUGGCUAGGCUGCAGUCCAUUCAGCAGCUGGGUGAAUUCGUGUCUCUCUCGAAUCUCAUUAGUCAAAUCACCCUCCUCCCUGACCAAGACGACGCCAUCCACUGGAACUUAACCACCUCGGGGACAUACCCAGCCGCCUCUGCCUAUGGCGCGCGGUUCCUUGGCUCCUACUCUCGUUUCGACACAACCAAGGUCUGGUCUGCAAACGCUGAGCCCAAGUGCAAGUUCUUUUCUUCGCUUUCUCUACACGGAAGAAUCCUCACUGCGGAUAUGCUGGCUGUGAGGGGUUGGCCUCAUGAUCCCAGAUGUCUGCUCUGUCUCCAACAGCCUAAAAUAGCAAUCCACCUCUGCAAAGAUUGCCCCUUCAAGGUCGCGGUCUGGAACUAG
rnacentral:rRNA from 1 species